AGCUUAAUAUUUAUUUGUUUACCUUUUUAAGCAUUUUUUUCAAUGUAAGUUGUUUAAGUUGCUUCGUCUAAUACUUUAUCUUUAAUUCUGUAGACAGACAUAAUCUCUUGUUCAGUUACAUAGCUGAAAUCCUAUAACUACUAUUUUGAGAAUUCCGACUAACUUGUCAAUCGAAAUUUUCUCGUUUUCAAUAACUUCUCUGUCAUUUUCUUCACUGUCGGUAGUGGUAUUUUCUGGAUUUAUAACCAUACUACAUAUUUUGCCACUCAUUAAUUGAUUGAAGAUUGAGAAGCAUUGUCAUCACAAUAAAAGACUUUUAUAUCGCUUUCAUUUAUUACCACUUCUCCACAUUUCUUUACAAAAUCUGUUAAUUGGAAAAUUUCACCUUUGUUUAGCGAUAUCCAAAAACAUUUAAAAUUAGCGGCUAUCAUCAUCAAAUUUAGCUAUAUUUCAUUAUACAUAUUUAGCUAUGCAUCAUGAGCUUGGCGACUAACGACAAGUUGUUCUGCUAAAUUUUAUCUUGUGUCUAUCGCAGACUCAGACAAAUAAGCCUGAAAUAUAUUAGUUAUUUAUUAUACUUAUGUCUAAUUCUUGCACAUGCUUAAGUGUUAUGUAAGUCCUGAAUAAAUAAAUUCGCACAUAUACUUAAGGCUUAUGGAGGGCUGGCACUAGAUAUCUUACUGCCUCAUGCAGUCUCUGCGGGUCCUAAAUUCUGCUACCAAGCGUCUUCCUUUGUCAUCUCUAAAUUCUGCCACCUGUUUCUGGCUUUAUGUGAAUAAGGAAUUAGUUAUUCAUAAUUCAAAGAGCACUAAAUGUAAUCUUUUGGCCUAUGAGUAUCAUAAACAAAAUCCAUUUUUAGCAUAUGGAAAGAAAUUUUUCCUGUCAACAUUACUUAGCACAGUUAACUUAAAUCAUUUGUAAUCAUCACCAAGCAUAAUGUCAACAUACAAGGUUACCAUACUCUUCCUUAUUCAAUUACUAACAUAAAAAAAAAAAAAAAAGUGUUUAGGCAUCGCUAUAUGAGUCAUUAGUCAAGUUGUAAUGUGUUGAUAAACAUGGCUGAUGCCAAGCUGGCGAAGCAAAAUAUAAUAAAUAAUGAUUCGCCAGCUUGGCAUCAGGCAUAUAAGAUAUUAGUAAGUUUAAAUUCAACGAUGUAUCUAUGUAGAAUGUUUUGCUUUCAGAUGUAAGCCAAGCAGGCAAUUUGGCAGCUACAGAGCCAAGUUAUUGAUGAUACAAAUUUAUGCUAAAAUGAUUUGUUUCUUCAAUAACAAGAUAUUUUAUUUAGUGUCAAAGUGAAAUUAAGAAUCGGGACCGUCCAGAUGUUUUAUUAUGCGCAGAGAAGGGAAUGAAAUGCGCAUGCGUAAAGCCUAGGAGAAAAACGUUGUUGGUGGUUUUGAGGUCCGGAUUUUAGAUCAUUCCGGAUAAUGUACAUCUGGAUUUCCGACUUUGUCCUGUAUAAUAGAAAAUUCAUAUUUUACUGACACUUUCUGUCAGCCGUAUUUAAGCAAUUGCUACUAAUAAAGCCUCAAACAUAGCUUCAUUUUCCAUUCAUGGAAGAUUGAAUAUAAUAAACAUAAUAUGUAUUUUACAGUGAAAAACUGUGGUAUUAGCACAAUGCAAUUAUGAAAAACAAGAUAACUUUUUUUUUUCCCUCUCGCAUGUUCAAACAGGCAACUCUUCUUCUUGCACCUGACAGAUUAGUAAACGUUUGUUUCUUGCUAGUCUAGGUGAAAGGUGCCAGAUCUAUUUUUCAUCCAGACUGCUGCAGAAGGCAAGUACCCAGCGCUGAGCAACAAAUUUAAAAUGAUGCAUAUUACAAUUGCUUCUUCUUUUUACAGUGGAGAUAUAAAUACCAAUAGUAUGAAAUUUCCUGCGAACAUUUUCUACAACUGAUCAUUUAUAUAUUUUCUAGAAAUACAUAUUUUAUGUUUAGAAUUUUUUAAUAAAGAGGGUAAAAUUAUUUAUUCUUUACUAUAUUAUAUUUGCAUAUAAAAGGCUUAAACCUUUUGUUGUUAUAAUUUUGGCUGUAUUUUUCUUUUAGUUGCAAAUGCGUGAAGUGUAAUAUAAAAAUUUAAUGUACACAUAAAAUGGCAUGAGGAAUUAUUUGUAUGAUAUUUUAAGUAAAAUCUAAUGCUAGAUGGAUAUAUGCUGAUCAAUUCAAAAAUAAUUUCACAUGGAAUUUAGUGUACUAGAUUCUGGCUUGUUAUGCAAAAAAGCGCAUUUUAAAUGGAAGGAAAUUCUGUACUUUUUUACUCUGUUUAUAGAAAAGUUUUAUAUCGGUAUUUUGUUGUUUAUAAGUGGAAAGAUUAUUUGUUCAUAUUUUAUUGCUGAAAGCUGAACAGGUAUGUGUAAUGUGAAUAUCUUUACGUUAAUGGGCUUAACAAUGGAAUUUGAAUAUUAUACAAUCUUUUUGAUUUGAUAUAGUUUAAGUGUACUUGUAAUGCAUAUUUGAUGAAAGUGUUUCUGACGGAAUUUACCUUAGGUACCAUUUAGUGUGUUCAAUGUUAAUGAUACUUGAUAUAAUAUUUUUUUACUAUUAAAUCUGUCCACAGUAUGUGCAAUAUUUUCAGUGUACAUUAAAACUUCAUUCAUUUAAAGAUUUUCAUUAAAUGCUGCUUAAUGUUAUCAUUCGGAUAUUAUUAUCGAGUAAAAUAUGUCAUGUAUUGUGAUCAACAGCAGUUCAGUUAAUAUGAUCAAACUGUUGUCAAAUUGAUCUUUUGAAUCAUGUUGCCAAGUGUUCAAACAGCAUGUUUUCGAUUUUAGUCAACCAUUUAAAAUAAGGCAAAAAAGCAACCUCAGGUUUGAGUUAGAUUUUGAAUAAUUCUAUUGAUUUUGAAGAUGAAUAGACAUACAUCCUGUUUUUCAGGAGUGAAAAAAAAUUCUGAAGAUCCCCCCCAAAAAUUUCUGAAGAUUGAAUUUGUGCCAAACUAAGGUUGCUUUUUUAGCUAACUUUAAAUUUUACAUUUGCAUAAUUUCUUCCAGUGAAUGAGAGAUAUCCUUCAAGUAUUAUGAUUAGGGGUACAGUAUUAGUCAAAUAAUUUCCAGAAAUGUUAUGAACAUUUCAUAAAUGAACUUUUGCAUUAAAGAUUUUAUAAACAGUUCAUACAUAAAGAUUUGCAUUUCUGUAAUUAAAAUUCUGGGAACGUCUUCAGUUACUAAAGCUCUUGUUUUAGUGCUGUUUUGAAGGAUAUUUUUUGAUAACAUUUAUCAAAAUAGCAGUGGACAUAUGUGAUCACAAUUGAGUGGCAUCAUUUGUAUAAAAUUUUAAGCCUAGUAAUCAUGAGUUUUAAAUAUAGGUUUAAAAGAAAAAAAGAACUGAAUGAGAAUUUGAUAAUUUUGAAAUUGCCGAUCUGAGUAUCUUUUUAAUGGGUAAAAGUGAACAAAAUGUAUUCAUAGUCUGUAUUAUGCAUGGCAUAUAAUAUUUAUGAAUUUAACAAUUUCAUAAAUCAUACUAUCAUAUUCAUUACUGGUAUCUACUUCGUAUGUAAGAUUCAAGCUCUUGUAAAACAUAUUUCAAUUAAAUGUUAUGCACAAAUGUAUAUUUUAUGGUUCAUGAAAACAUAUUCAUUAGAUUCUGUACUAUUUAAAUUAUUGCAGAUAUGCUGAAACUGAGAGCAUUGAGGUACUAGAAUAUGAUAUUUCAACAGAUUCGUAUGAAUUCAAGUGAAAGCUCAGUGCUACAAUAGCCAUUAGUUGCAAGAUGUACACAUAUAUCAACUUUUAAGGGAGGGAAAUCUGUCAUUCAGUUUUAGUAAUAGAAAUAUUUCAUGUCUUAUAAUAAAGAUAUCAUUUUUAAUCUAUUAAAACAAAUCAAAAUUUCAAAUUUAUUUCAAUGUAAUGAUGCUUAAUUCAUGUUAAUCUCUUUAAAUAUUAGUUCAAGUAUACAGGUUUAAACUUGAAAAUAUAAAAAAUUAUAAAGAAUUGCAAUGACAUAAUUUUCGGUUUUCUUUUCCAUGGUUUUAGAAAGUUUAAGAAAUUGUUUGAAUCAAAAAUCCUGUUAUAUUAAAAUUAUUCAGGUGAAAAAUAAAUAUUAUUAUUUGUACUGUAUUUCAGAAAGUGAAAAACUUAUAAAUGUUUUACUUAGAAAUAUGUAUUUUACAGGAAUGCAGUAGCUUUUUAUUUAUUAUUCUCCGUACCUAGACAGUAUUUUAAAAUACACUUUUAUUGAAUCUGUCCUCAUUGAUUGCUUUAUGCACAUUGGAACUGUUUUCAGAUGGUUGACAGAAAUUCAUGUCUUUUUACGUGUGUAAUGGGUGUAAAUUUGUGCCAGCCAUUUUUUAAUCAUAUAUUUUCAAUCCCUUAUAUUAGUUUGACUUAAAUGUAUUCUCAUUAUUUUCAGAUAAUUUAAGUGUGAUAAAAUUUAAAAUAUUAUUAAUGAAUAACUUUUAAAGCAUUUAUUAUUUUUCAUCAAAUUGUAUUUUAAACAAUUUUUCAUUACUGAAAAACACAUGCAUUGCUGCCAAUGCUACCUGUAUGUAUGUUGGCAUAGAGUGGCUAAGUCUGAGGUGAAGUUAUUCAUUUACCUAAGUUAAAAUAUGUUAUCUAAAUUUAAUGAUUUAUAUGUAUAUAAAUAAGCGGUGACUGAUUGUACAGUCUGAUGUAGAUAAUUGUACACUUUGGCAGGUUUUUUAGCGGACAUGAUUAACUGUUUUUAAAUGUACAGAUUUGACGACAAAUUGCAACUACAAAGUAACAUCCAGCAGUGCCAAGGAAUUUGUUGCAGUGUCUGUGAUUAUUCCAUGUUAUGAUUCUUCAAAGUCAAGUGUUUUGAAAGUUCCUGUGUGAAUUCCCCUCCCCCUAAUUUGGAUUGGGUCUGUGGUAUUUGUUUUCAGCUAUUUUUGUGAAGAAUGUGCUUGCCUUGUCAAAAUAUAAUGUGGUGUUUUUUGCAUCUCGAAGCAAUGUAGAUAUUGUUAUGCAUCUGCUGACUAUUGUUAGAACUGUACAUUGCUAUUUAUUGGUUUAUUAGGUUAUAAAUAAAAAAGUCAAAUGAUACAAUUCUUUUUCAUAAAAA